GAUGAACGCUAGCGGCAGGCCUAACACAUGCAAGUCGAGGGGUAGCAGGAUUAAGCCUGCUUAAUUGCUGACGACCGGCGCACGGGUGCGUAACGCGUAUGCAACCUACCUUAUACUGGGGUAUAGCCCGGAGAAAUUCGGAUUAAUCCCCCAUAGUACUAAUGAAUCGCAUGGUUUAUUAGUUAAAGCAUUGCGGUAUAAGAUGGGCAUGCGUCCUAUUAGCUAGAUGGUGAGGUAACGGCGCACCAUGGCUACGAUAGGUAGGGGGCCUGAGAGGGUGGUCCCCCACACUGGUACUGAGACACGGACCAGACUCCUACGGGAGGCAGCAGUGAGGAAUAUUGGUCAAUGGGCGCAAGCCUGAACCAGCCAUGCCGCGUGCAGGAAGAAUGCCCUAUGGGUUGUAAACUGCUUUUAUUUGGGAAUAAACCUCUUUACGUGUAGAGAGCUGAAGGUACCAAAUGAAUAAGCACCGGCUAACUCCGUGCCAGCCGCCGCGGUAA
rnacentral:rRNA from 1 species